rnacentral:rRNA from 1 species
CUUACACAUGUAAGUCGAGGGGUAACGAUGGUGCUUGCACCAGGCGACGACCGGCGGACGGGUGAGUAACACGUAUGCAAUUUGCCUUUAACUGGAGGAUAGCUUCGGGAAACCGUAAUUAAUACUCCAUAGUAUUCAAAAGACGCAUGUUUUUUGAAUUAAAGCUCCGGCGGUUGAAGAUAAGCAUGCGGGACAUUAGCUAGUUGGUAAGGUAACGGCUUACCAAGGCGACGAUGUCUAGGGGGUUUGAGAGGAUGAUCCCCCACACUGGUACUGAGACACGGACCAGACUCCUACGGGAGGCAGCAGUGAGGAAUAUUGGGCAAUGGGCGCAAGCCUGACCCAGCCAUGCCGCGUGCAGGAUGAAGGUCCUAUGGAUCGUAAACUGCUUUUGUAUGGGAAGAACUUCCCGCAUUCGUGCGGGAUUGACGGUACUAUACGAAUAAGGACCGGCUAACUCCGUGCCAGCAGCCGCGGUAAUACGGAGGGUCCAAGCGUUAUCCGGAUUCACUGGGUUUAAAGGGUGCGUAGGUGGAACGAUAAGUCGAUGGUGAAAGCCUACAGCUUAACUGUAGAAUUGCCAUUGAUACUGUUGUUCUUGAGUAUAGUCGGGGGAAGUGGAAUGCGUAAUGUAGCGGUGAAAUGCAUAGAUAUUACGCAGAACACCGAUCGCGAAAGCAGCUUCCUAGGCUAUUACUGACACUGAGGCACGAAAGCGUGGGGAGCGAACAGGAUUAGAUACCCUGGUAGUCCACGCCGUAAACGAUGCUCACUCGCUGUUGGCGAUAUAUUGUCAGCAGUUAAGCUAAAGCAUUAAGUGAGCCACCUGGGAAGUACGUCCGCA